rnacentral:rRNA from 1 species
UACGUAGGGUGCGAGCGUUGCCCGGAUUUAUUGGGCGUAAAGGGCGCGUAGGCGGCUCUGCACGUCCGUUGUGAAAUCGCCCGGCUCAACUGGGCGGGGUCAGCGGAUACGGCGGAGCUUGAGCAAGCUAGGGGGCAAUGGAAUUCCCGGUGUAGUGGUGGAAUGCGUAGAUAUCGGGAGGAACACCUGUGGCGAAAGCGGCUCACUGGACCAUAACUGACGCUGAGGCGCGAAAGCUAGGGGAGCAAACAGG